UGGGGAAUCUUGCGCAAUGCGCGAAAGCGUGACGCAGCAACGCCGCGUGGGGGAAGAAUGCCUUCGGGUUGUAAACCCCUUUCAGGAGGGACGAAGGUUCACCCGGUGAAUAGCCGGGAGGACUGACGGUACCUCCAGAAGAAGCUCCGGCUAACUACGUGCCAGCAGCCGCGGUAAUACGUAGGGGGCAAGCGUUGUCCGGAAUCAUUGGGCGUAAAGCGCGCGUAGGCGGCCCGAUAAGUCUGCUGUGAAAGUCCAGGGCUCAACCCUGGAAUGCCGGUGGAUACUGUCGGGCUAGAGUUCGGAAGAGGCAAGUGGAAUUCCUGGUGUAGCGGUGGAAUGCGCAGAUAUCAGGAGGAACACCUAUAGCGAAGGCAGCUUGCUGGGACGACACUGACGCUAAGGCGCGAAAGCGUGGGGAGCGAACAGGAUUAGAUACCCCCGUAGUCC
rnacentral:rRNA from 1 species